rnacentral:rRNA from 1 species
GACGAACGCUGGCGGCGUGCUUAACACAUGCAAGUCGAACGGUGAAGCGCCUUCCUUUUUGGUGGGUGUGGAUGAGUGGCGAACGGGCGAGUAACACGUGAGUAACCUGCCCCCUUCUUCUGGAUAACCGCAUGAAAGUGUGGCUAAUACGGGAUAUUCUGGGUCUGUCGCAUGAUGGGUCUGGGAAAGAUAUUGUUUCGGUGGGGGAUGGGCUCGCGGCCUAUCAGCUUGUUGGUGGGGUGAUGGCCUACCAAGGCGGUGACGGGUAGCCGGCCUGAGAGGGUGGACGGUCACACUGGGACUGAGACACGGCCCAGACUCCUACGGGAGGCAGCAGUGGGGAAUAGUGCACAAUGGGCGCAAGCCUGAUGCAGCGACGCCGCGUGAGGGAUGGAGGCCUUCGGGUUGUGAACCUCUUUCGCCAGUGAAGCAGGCCUGCCUCGUUUGUGGGUGGGUUGACGGUAGCUGGAUAAGAAGCGCCGGCUAACUACGUG